rnacentral:pre_miRNA from 1 species
AAGUAUAAUGUCAUAAUCAUUGUGAUGUCAUUAUUAUUAUGUCAUAUAUUUAG